UACGAUUGGUUAUAAUAGUGGAACGUUCAGCAGUACUCGGGUUUUACUGCUGCAUAUUAUGAAAAGUCUGAGCAUGCGCACUUUCACCGCUUGAUUUUUAAAAACAGUGAUAAAACUUGCAGUGAAAUUUAGCUCGAUCCAGAUUCCAGAACAAAGAAAAAGAGUCUUAUAUAAAAAUCCACAGAUCCAAUGUGUCUGAGGUUGAGGAAUGCAUUGCAGUAACACUUAAGCUUGCACCAGCUAGCUCAAAAAGAUGGACCAAGUUAUAAAAAGAGACCUGAAACCAACACAAGACCAGCUGAUCAGAGGGCAGAAAACCAAAAUUUGGAAUGACAUGUAUACAACCAACAAAAGACUAAAAUUUGGAAUAAAAAUAAAAAAAAUUCAGAAACAUAU